rnacentral:lncRNA from 1 species
AGGGGAUAGGCUGAAAUAAGUAGAUAUUGCUGUUGAAAGAAACAAUUUCAAUGAGGUCUCCCCCCACGCAUCCUUGCUGAGGUCAUGGCGAGACAUAGAUGGAGGGUAGGCAAAAGCAGGAAGAUGACAGCAGAGCAGUAAGGGCUCAGCAAUGAGAGACUAGGGCAGGUGUGUGAAGAAGGGAGAAUGGAAGAGGAAUUGGAUGCAUGAAGGCAGAGAAAGUAGGUGGUGGGCAGAAAUAAUGGGAAAAUGUGAAUCUUCAGAAGUCAAAAUUUAAUGAUGUUUGCUUAACAUUUGCAUAUAUGAUACUACUCCCCAAGUAUGUGAACUAGACAGUUUACAUACAAGGCAGGAAAAUAGGGUCUGGAGGCAGGGAACAUAAGGCCAAUUCACACUUCAGCUAUGACAGAAAAUAUCUUCUCCAUAGGGCGUAGUUGCUAGGGCCGCUCAGAGAGAGAGAAUCCUGAAACCUAGCAUACCAGCUAAAGGUGUAUUUGCACCAGGUAAAAAAGCUUUUUAUGGUUUGAAUCUUCUGAGAACACCAGAGAAAGACUCUCCUUACCAUCCUCACUGCAACUAAACUUCGGGACCCUGGGCUUUGGGUUCAUGGUCUCGCAACUGAAAAGGUUCCCUCCACACUUUUGGAAUUGUGCACCCAUUGGAACCCUUGAGGUAAAGCUAACCAGAGAAAUUUCUCCCAAGAAGAAGAAGAUGGCAUCCUUGAAGUG